UACGGAGGAUGCAAGCGUUAUCCGGAAUUAUUGGGCGUAAAGCGUCCGCAGGUGGUUUAUCAAGUCUGCUGUCAAAGCGCGAGGCUUAACUUCGUAAAGGCAGUGGAAACUGAUAGACUGGAGUGCGGUAGGGGCAGAGGGAAUUCCCAGUGUAGCGGUGAAAUGCGCAGAUAUCGGGAGGAACACCUAUGGCGAAGGCAGCUCGCUGGGACGUUACUGACGCUGAGACGCGAAAGCGUGGGGAGCAAACAGG
rnacentral:rRNA from 1 species